rnacentral:rRNA from 1 species
AGCGAACGCUGGCGGCAGGCCUAACACAUGCAAGUCGAACGAACUCUUCGGAGUUAGUGGCGGACGGGUGAGUAACACGUGGGAACGUGCCUUUAGGUUCGGAAUAACUCAGGGAAACUUGUGCUAAUACCGAAUGUGCCCUUCGGGGGAAAGAUUUAUCGCCUUUAGAGCGGCCCGCGUCUGAUUAGCUAGUUGGUGAGGUAAAGGCUCACCAAGGCGACGAUCAGUAGCUGGUCUGAGAGGAUGAUCAGCCACAUUGGGACUGAGACACGGCCCAAACUCCUACGGGAGGCAGCAGUGGGGAAUCUUGCGCAAUGGGCGAAAGCCUGACGCAGCCAUGCCGCGUGAAUGAUGAAGCUCUUAGGAUUGUAAAAUUCUUUCACCGGGGACGAUAAUGACGGUACCCGGAGAAGAAGCCCCGGCUAACUUCGUG